rnacentral:misc_RNA from 1 species
UUUCCGUAAGUGAACCUGCGGAAGGAUCAUUAACACGAAUUAUUUAUUAUCCAAUAUCAAAAACCAAACGUGAACCUUUUCCCUCCCUAUAUAUAUAUAUAUAGGCUAACCUCAUUUAAUUAAUUUUUAACACUUUGAACCUUAACUAGUUUUAAUGUAGCCAUUAAAACAUCUAAACUAAAAAAGACAAGGUUAUUCGAAAGAGUAAACUUUAACUUUUUUCGAUUUACGAAAAAUUUAAAAGAACAACUCUUAACAAUGGAUAUCUUGGUUCUC